GACGAACGCUGGCGGCGUGCUUAACACAUGCCAGUCGAACGGAAAGGCCCUGCUUUUGUGGGGUGCUCGAGUGGCGAACGGGUGAGUAACACGUGAGUAACCUGCCCUUGACUUUGGGAUAACUUCAGGAAACUGGGGCUAAUACCGGAUAGGAGCUCCUGCUGCAUGGUGGGGGUUGGAAAGUUUCGGCGGUUGGGGAUGGACUCGCGGCUUAUCAGCUUGUUGGUGGGGUAGUGGCUUACCAAGGCUUUGACGGGUAGCCGGCCUGAGAGGGUGACCGGCCACAUUGGGACUGAGAUACGGCCCAGACUCCAACGGGAGGCAGCAGUGGGGAAUAUUGCACAAUGGGCGGAAGCCUGAUGCAGCAACGCCGCGUGCGGGAUGACGGCCUUCGGGUUGUGAACCGCUUUCGCCUGUGACGAAGCGUGAGUGGCGGUAAUGGGUAAAGAAGCACCGGCUAACUACGUG
rnacentral:rRNA from 1 species